AUUGAACGCUGGCGGCAGGCCUAACACAUGCAAGUCGAGCGAGCGGCGGACGGGUGAGUAAUGUCUGGGGAACUGCCUGAUGGAGGGGGAUAACUACUGGAAACGGUAGCUAAUACCGCAUACCAUCGGAUGUGCCCAGAUGGGAUUAGCUAGUAGGUGGGGUAAUGGCUCACCUAGGCGACGAUCCCUAGCUGGUCUGAGAGGAUGACCAGCCACACUGGAACGGAUACACGGCCCAGACUCCUACGGGAGGCAGCAGUGGGGAAUAUUGCACAAUGGGCGCAAGCCUGAUGCAGCCCUGCCGCGUGUAUGAAGAAGGCCUUCGGGUUGUAAAGCACUUUCAGCGGGGAGGCGUUACUCGCAGAAGAAGCACCGGCUAACUCCGUGCCAGCCGCCGCGGUAAUUC
rnacentral:rRNA from 1 species